rnacentral:misc_RNA from 1 species
AAGUUAUAGGAGUAACAACUAAGGGUGUAAUGUUAAAGGAGAGAUACAGAAAAUUGAUUUUAAAAGAAAAAAAAAAUUACAAAGGCAAAAGGUAAGUGUGUUUGGCUUGAGAUAAAAGAACAAAAAAGUAAUAUAUCAUAACAGCAUGGAUAGGAAGAUAUUCGUCCCAACCAACGAAAACCACAUGCAUUGGAUCACAACCCCUUGCUCGGAAAAGGCUUAAUGAUCAAAAAAUGGGUGUCUAGAGUCUAGACAACCUAGAGGAGGGUCUCAUACGCUGUCCUGUCCCCUCUUUUAAUUCUAUAUAUAAAAAUAAAAAAUUUUUAAAAAAAAUCCUUCAAUAUCCUUUGCAUGUCAACAGAGGGCAAUUAUAGCUCUGAGCAAGAGAAUAGGAAGUGAUCAAAGGAGAUAAAUUAUCAUUAAGUUAAUGUAACACAUUAUUGUUGAGUCUCAUGUACAGUGUAAUAAUAAAAAAAUAAUGAUAAUCUCAAGUAAAGCAUGUUAAAGAUGGGAUAAACCUAAUUAAAAACAAAUUAUGUUUGGCGCUACCCGAUAAAUAAUUUGUCCUACAAUUACAAACAACAAACUCACUUUCACUCUUUUUAAGCUAUUACCUUUGCAAAAACAUUGAAUAACUUUAUGCAAUCCACUGUUACCGAUUUGCAAUUUAUAAAUGGAAUACAAAAAUGUAAGAGUAAGGUAACCUUCUUUUUAAUAUAGGAAUGAGGUAAACAAGUAAGUUCAAAUAGAUGCUGAAAGCAUACCU